GGAACCUGCAGCGUGAGGUCUGCUGGAUAGGUUUCUGCUCUACACUGGGUAAUUUGUUUCGACUGUGAUCACAUACCACCAGAAAGCUGACUGCAAGAGCAAUGCUCAGUCAGGGAAGAGAAACAUACCUUUGAUCUCCUCGAGCAGCCAUCAAACAGGCAGUACAGCUUCCAAUACCAUUACGGGCAGCAGUGACAAACACCAUGAGUGAGCUCAGACCUGGAGCCUGCAGGGGGACGCAAAGGUCUACACACAGCCUCCAGCACCAGAACCAGAGCACCACGUUAAAGAAAUCAACAUCCUAUACCGGAUACUGAAAAGGAAGGAAAGCAUCUCUCACUCCCAUCGCUGCUCCCACUUCUCAUUAAGGUACCUGAUUAAUUCUACAGUGCUGUGCAUGGAGGACAACAUUUCUACCUGACAACAUUUCUACCUGUGGCAAUCAUUUUAAGCCCUGAAGCAUAAUCCUGGAUACCUUAUCUCAGCUAGCAAACAUUAUUAAUAUUUGUAAAGGAAACUGGCGCUUUAAAUCCAGCCACAUGUCUUGACUUCAAGAUGAAUAUAAGUUUUCAUGGCUAACAACUAUGGUAAUAUUUUCAGUCUGAAGAGGGAUGGGGGAAGAAUGCAAAACUCAGACCAGGACAGGUCUCUCAACUUUGAUUUUAAAACAAUUCUCCUCCUUCUACACCACUAGUAAUACCCACCUUUCUCUGUAACGCUAACAAUUCUCUGAUUCUCAUGCUUCAAGAGGAGAAGAGGCCCCUUAACUUCAAGCAGUUCUCUCUGAAAAUGGGCUUCAGACUCUUUGCCAAGGAGAAUAAUAGAAAAAUCAAUGCCAACAGCACGAGGGGAAAUAUGCUGAAGAGCCACUGCAUUUGCUUGAACAGAACAGCUGGAAUAAGUUGUCAAUUUCACUUACCAUAAUUUCAGGCUGCACUGCCUGGCAAAGGGGGCCAUUAAAGAAAAGAAAGGCACAUCUCAAAAGCAAUAGCAGCCCUUCAGUUAUUCAAGAAGCUAUGGAAUGACAAACAGAUGGAAAUGAGAAAAAAAACUCAGAACAAUGUCGUAAAACAAGUUCUUCUCUCGAGUGCAGGGGCAACAGCAGGCAAGUGUACCAUUGCCAGAGCAGAAUCUGUCUGAUCCAGUGCAAUGACAGCAUUGCCUACAAAUUAAAUCACAGCAUGCUGGGCAGAGAAAAACACAGCUGGUAUGAUUCAGUCGUGUCAUGCACAUACAGAAAGAAUGCUGACCACAUAUCAAAACCCAGAGAGGAAAAGCAGAGGCAAUGCACUCUAGCAGGAAAAGCAAGAUCUACUUUGCAAUGACUUAUAACCAUUACAUAUCUGGUUAUAGGUGCUGGUAAUUGUAUCUCAGCCUGGAGGGUCACAAAUAGAUUUCAGUGGGUUGCAACCAGUCUUCAUUUCUUUAAUGGCUAGAUAGCAGGGGACAAACUUUGUUGUCUUGCAACAUGGGGUUGUUGUAUGGAAAAGGUUGAGAAACACUGAUAAGAAAAGCCUUAGCAAAUGUGGUGUAUGAAGCUACGGAACGGACAGAAUGGGUCAUGGGAUGUGUUCUCCGUACUGUAACUUCAAAUGCAUAGGAGUCUCCAUCCUGUGAUAGAGCUGCCAUUAUAUGUUUCAGGUCACAUGCAGAAAGCAAGUAACUGAGGCCAAGCUCCUCCAAGGUAUUUAGGCUCCUAACUUUCACUGGAAUCAAUAAGAGUUAGGUGCCUAAAUCUCUGCCAGGAUCUGGGCCUUUGUUUGUGUCUCUCUCCCCACUCUCCACUGCCCCCUAGAGACUUUAUAUUUGUUCUUUGUUGUUUUCCUUAAUCUGAAAUCAGUCAUUUAGACUGGAAAGUACAUUUUGCAGGGGGAAAUAUUAUGGGUGCGUAUUGUUCAGAACUACAGAAAGGAAAAAAGCCUUGUGUUCUAGAGGCCAUUCUUGCCCUUCAUACUUGUACAAACUGUGUGUAAUUUCAGAGUCUUUCUACAGAACACAUGAAAAGCCCCAGUAAGAUAUUGAUUGUAAUCACUAAGACAAAGUUUUUGAAUCUCAUGUGUUUCCUUGCCUCUCCACAACCUGUCUUAUACCAGAAACUGCAAGUAAUAAUAACAGCUGACACGACUACACUGGGCGUGAUUUUCAGUUACACUAAGGAACUUUUAUGCUACUCUGACACAUAAAGGGGCAUCGAAGUGGAUGGAAACAGCCUCUUGAGAAUAUCCCCUGUACAUGGCUUCUCCAGCUAGCAUAAAUUUAGCAUAAGGGCUUCCAGCAGAUCAGUGACACAGCCAGAGUGCACUGCACUACAGCUACUCCAUCUUCUUGGUGUUCAUAGGGGGCCUGGGAAAUAGAAUGUAGAUUAGGUCAGCCCAGAGGCUGCUCUGAUUUACUCUGACAGCCAGAUUGGCCCCUGCCUGACUCCAGAAUUAGAGGAGCACAAAUGUGGCUUAACGGCUGCUCCGAGCCCAGGAAGAGAGCAAUGGAGAAUCAGGCCUAUUAUGACAAGAAUUACAAAUUCUCUUGGAUUGGCUAGAUGCAAACUGUUAGAUCCAAUUCAUCUUUGUCGUCGGAGGUGACAUUCACAGUACCAUCUCUAGAUGAGCAACGGAGAAAUCCAGUCAGCUCUCAAAGAGUCCACCCAUGAAAUCUGCCUUGCUAACCAAUGUCUAUUUAGAUAAUCAUAGGCAUUUUUAGAAGGUUAGAGGAGUUAGUCAAAUUAAUGCUGGAGGGGCCAGUAGAAUGGCAAACACAUGCUGAGAGGUUACCAACAAAACUAGAGGAUUACUUAGCUGGAAAGAAG